rnacentral:rRNA from 1 species
UACAUAGGGUGCGAGCGUUAAUCGGAAUUACUGGGAGUAAAGCGUGCGCAGGCGGCUUUGCAAGACAGAUGUGAAAUCCCCGGGCUCAACCUGGGAACUGCAUUUGUGACUGCAAGGCUAGAGUACGGCAGAGGGGGAUGGAAUUCCGCGUGUAGCAGUGAAAUGCGUAGAUAUGCGGAGGAACACCAAUGGCGAAGGCAAUCCCCUGGGCCUGUACUGACGCUCAUGCACGAAAGCAUGGGGAGCAAACAGG